AACGAACGCUGGCGGCAGGCUUAACACAUGCAAGUCGAACGCCUCCUUCGGGGUGAGUGGCAGACGGGUGAGUAACGCGUGGGAACGUGCCCUUCAGUUCGGGCUAACCCAGGGAAACCUGGGCUAAUACCGGAUACGUGCGGGAGCAGAAAGAUUUAUCGCUGAAGGAUCGGCCCGCGUCUGAUUAGCUAGUUGGUGGGGUCAUGGCCCACCAAGGCGACGAUCAGUAGCUGGUCCGAGAGGAUGAUCAGCCACAUUGGGACUGAGACACGGCCCGAGCUCCUGCGGGAGGCAGCAAUGGGGAAGAUUGGACAAUGGGCGCAAGCCUGAUCCAGCAGAGCCGGGUGAGUGAUGAAGGCCUUAGGAUUGUGAAGCUCUUUCAUCCGAGAGGGUAAUGGCGGUGCCGGAGAAGGUGGUCGCGGAUAACUUCGUGCCAGCCGCCCCGGUAA
rnacentral:rRNA from 1 species